UUACAACUCUACUAUCAAUAUCCGAUCUUAAUUCACAAAUAAACUAACAUCAUGUAAUUUUCGACUCUAAAUCAUGUUGAAAUCUAGCUCGAACAAUAAGCACGAGUCACAACAUAAACCCAACAUAUAUGACUCCCAACAUGACAAAGUGUGAGUUCAUGAAAAGAGUAAGGAAUCUAACACCAAACAAACAAAGGGACAAAAGUUAACUGGGAAAAAGCAAAAAUGAAAUGAGUUGAAGAGAAGCUUCAAUAAUCGCAAAGACAAUUGAAUUUGUACCAAUAUUCUAUAUUAAACAAAGAAGGACAAAUAACUAUCCAUAUCAAGACAAGGAAUAUCAAGAUUUUUGGGGGGGAAAAGACAACAGUAGCUUUAUAUACAUAUAUACCAACAAUAAUAUAAGAAAAGAAACAAGGUAAGAUAACUUUUGGCUAAUAUUAGCACACGAGUCACAAUCACGAGCCAAUGGUUUAAUAAAUCACAGUAAUCAAAUUCAAACAAGCUUAAACUAAAUUUAUAGCACAACAUAUUACUUCGUCAGCGAGAAGAGUAACACUUAGCUAUAUUCAGAUGCCAAAACGACAACUCGGUAUCAUCAUUAAGGGAAACAGAAAGAAAACAGCAGCAGCAUGAUCAAAAUCGAAAACUUCAAAUAAUGGGAACACGAGAUGUAGAGGAAUUUAAC
rnacentral:lncRNA from 1 species